AACGAACGCUGGCGGCAGGCUUAACACAUGCAAGUCGAGCGAGACCUUCGGGUCUAGCGGCGGCCGGGUGAGUAACGCGUGGGAACGUGCCCUUCUCUACGGAAUAGCCCCGGGAAACUGGGAGUAAUACCGUAUACGCCCUUUGGGGGAAAGAUUUAUCGAAGAAGAAUCGGCACGCGUUGGAUUAGGUCGUUGGUGGGGUAAUGGCCCACCAAGCCGACGAUCCAUAGCUGGUUUGAGAGGAUGAUCAGCCACACUGGGACUGAGACACGGCCCAGACUCCUACGGGAGGCAGCAGUGGGGAAUCUUAGACAAUGGGGGCAACCCUGAUCGAGCCAGGCCGCGUGAGUGAUGAAGGCCUUAGGGUUGUAAAGCGCUUUCAGCUGGGAAGAUAAUGACGGUACCAGCAGAAGAAGCCCCGGCUAACUCCGUG
rnacentral:rRNA from 1 species